AUUGAACGCUGGCGGCAGGCCUAACACAUGCAAGUCGAACGAGUGGCGGACGGGUGAGUAAUGUCUGGGAAACUGCCUGAUGGCGGGGGAUAACUACUGGAAACGGUAGCUAAUACCGCAUACCAUCGGAUGUGCCCAGAUGGGAUUAGCUAGUCGGUGGGGUAACGCCUCAAUUAGGCGACGAGCCCUAGCUGGUCUGCGAGGAUGACCAGCCACACUGGAACUGAGACACGGUCCCGACUCCUACGUGAGUCAGCAGUGGGGAAGCUUGCACAAUGGGCGCAAGCCUGAUGCAGCCAUGCCGCGUGUAUGAAGAAGGCCUUCGGUUUGUAAAGUACUUUCAGCGGGGCGGCGUUACCCGCAGAAGAAGCACCGGCUAACUCCGUGCCAGCAGCCGCGGUAAUUC
rnacentral:rRNA from 1 species